GCUGUGGAGGCCGGGUCUCGGCGCACGUCACGGGUCGGUAAGUGGAGCUGUUCCCGACCGUCGACACGCCCACGAAACGCUGGGAGGAACGCACCAGGUCGGGGGAAAUAGACGAUCGUCAGAGUUUAGCAUUUUGCGCAAAACCGUGGCAUGAGGCUUAGUCCUUGCUACGAACAAGGUACUGUCCGCCUCCACCAUUCGUCAAUAAACCAGUGAAUUGGUCCCGCAACAUUCCACAACACCAAUGUUCAACCGGGUCUUGCAAUUACAAGUAGAGCGACUAGGACUGAACUCUUUCUUUGUGCAUUGACGUACGUCUGUCACAGGCAGCAUCGUGGUCCACACCAAGUCCAGAUCCUUCAGUUUCUCUGCCAAUGAGCAACUUGCUGAUGGGGUAGACCUGAAGUACUUUAAGUUCUUAAUAUCCAGCAGAGUUUUGUGAUUGUUAAAAAAAGACAAUAACACCAGAGAAACCACUGCAUCCGAGCACGCCGCCAUCUUACCGGAGCAAAGACCAUUGUCCAGCAAGAGACAGUGAGUUCCAGGCCCCCAACACUUAAUGAAUGAAAUGCGCCCAAAAUACACAAUAGCCACGGUUACCUGAGGAACCAACGCUCACAAUGACUCAUAACCAGGGAUACGGGCCAGCGGAGAUCACUCAGCUAGCCAGUUGACCGGGACCCAUUAGAGACUAGUGGCCAGCUCAAAAGCCAACCAAUCAGGACACCAAGUUGCAUCAAUAUAAAUGCGAACACAUGGCAGAAACAACACUCGAUCGCGAACUGAUGACGUAUCCUCGGCUGGUGAUGAAAUGUCUCCAGGCUCGGGACAACAUAAGAACAUAAGAAAUAGGAACAGGAGUAGGCCAUCUGGCCCAUCGAGCCUGCUCUGCCAUUCAAUAAGAUCAUGGCUGAUCUGGCCAUGGACUCAUCUCCACCAACCUGCCUUUUCACCAUAACCCUUAAUGUUUUUGUUGCCGUUUGUUCAAUUGUUUUUUUGCACGGGGGAGUGUGGGGGGGGGGGGGGGGUUGAAGGUUUUAUUUGAAUGGGUGCCAUGGUUUUCUUUGUUUUGUGGCUGUCCGUGCAGAAGAUGAAUUUCCACGGGGUUGUAUACAAACUUUGAUAAUAAAUGUACUUUGAAGCUGCAUUCUCUCCCCUCCUUUUCACUACUUACUAUCCUGCCACGUCCUUUUUUGCUUUCUCUUCCAUCACACUUUCUCAGGCUGUGUUCUGUUUUAACACUUCUGUGCUCACUUAAUCUUCAAUGGGACCUUCAUCAAUGUAUAUGGUCUUUCCCUGUAUCACUUUAAAAACUACAAAUUUCUACUCAGAGCCAACAAGAGUUAACAUUGUGGUUAAAAUAAGAUGCUGGAGGGUUGAGCUGCAUCUGUGGAGGGAAACCGACCAUCGUUGUUUCGGGUCUUCAUCUGGAUCUGAACUGUCGGCUGUCCAUUUCCCUCCCUCGUUGCUGCCUAACCCGCUGAGUUCCUCCAGCAGGUUCUUUUGCCACUGUGCUAACUCUUCUAGUUCUCACUUACCCUGAGCAGAAUGCUGCAGUUUUUAAAGUGACGUGGAGUUCUUCCAGCAUCUCAUUUGUUGUUCUGCAGUCCAGCAUCUGCUGUCCCUUGCGUUCACACUGUGGUAUUUGCACUAGGUCAAUCCCUGCGGUCAUUUUUAUUCAGGCCAUUAAGCUGAUUGGAUGUUGGCCUCUUUUCCUCCGCAUUCAUCUGUGGCUGCACUAAGGCACGAUGAAGAGUGAGGACUACAGCACCAUCAGUCACAGGCCAGGACACUCAGAGGCUUGGGCUAAAUUUAUAUAGUAUAUUGUGACUGUCUGCUUUCUGCUAUCUUAACUAUAUGUGCUCUGUGUGACUGUGGGUACCAUGUCUUGCAGCUUGGCCUUGGAGGAAUGCUGUUUUGUUUGGCUGCAUUCAUAUUUGUGGUUGAAUGACAAUUAAACUUGAACUGACUUUGUGCAAAGUGCACUGAGUUUGUAAACUGA